rnacentral:rRNA from 1 species
AUUGGGCGUAAGCGCGCGCAGGUGGUUUCUUAAGUCUGAUGUGAAAGCCCACGCCUCUACCGUGGAGGGUCAUUGGAAACUGGGAGACUUGAGUGCCUAAGAGGAAAGUGGAAUUCCAUGUGUAGCGGUGAAAUGCGUAGAGAUAUGGAGGAACACCAGUGGCGAAGGCGACUCUCUGGUCUGUAACUGGCGCUGAGGCGCGAAA